CCUACGGGCGGCUGCAGUGGGGAAUAUUGCACAAUGGGCGCAAGCCUGAUGCAGCCAUGCCGCGUGUGUGAAGAAGGCCUUCGGGUUGUAAAGCACUUUCAGCGGGGAGGAAGGCGGUGAGGUUAAUAACCUCAUCGAUUGACGUUACCCGCAGAAGAAGCACCGGCUAACUCCGUGCCAGCAGCCGCGGUAAUACGGAGGGUGCAAGCGUUAAUCGGAAUUACUGGGCGUAAAGCGCACGCAGGCGGUCUGUCAAGUCGGAUGUGAAAUCCCCGGGCUCAACCUGGGAACUGCAUUCGAACUGGCAGGCUAGAGUCUUGUAGAGGGGGGUAGAAUUCCAGGUGUAGCGGUGAAAUGCGUAGAGAUCUGGAGGAAUACCGGUGGCGAAGGCGGCCCCCUGGACAAAGACUGACGCUCAGGUGCGAAAGCGUGGGGAGCAAACAGGAUUAGAUACCCGAGUAGUC
rnacentral:rRNA from 1 species